rnacentral:rRNA from 1 species
CAGCAGCCACGGUAAUACGAAGGGGGCUAGCGUUGCUCGGAAUUACUGGGCGUAAAGGGCGCGUAGGCGGACAGUUCAGUCGGGGGUGAAAGCCCGGGGCUCAACCUCGGAAUUGCCUUCGAUACUGGCUGUCUUGAGUAUGAGAGAGGUGUGUGGAACUCCGAGUGUAGAGGUGAAAUUCGUAGAUAUUCGGAAGAACACCAGUGGCGAAGGCGACACACUGGCUCAUUACUGACGCUGAGGCGCGAAAGCGUGGGGAGCGAACAGGAUUAGAUACCCGCGUAGUCCCUGUCUCUUAUAC